GACGAACGCUGGCGGCGUGCCUAACACAUGCAAGUGGAGCGACGAACCAGGCUUCGGCCUGGGGCAAAGCCGCGAACGGGUGAGUAACACGUGGGUAACCUGCCCCGAAGACCGGGACAACCCGAGGAAACUCGGGCUAAUACCGGAUGUGGUCACCGUCCACAAGGACGAUGAGCAAAGGAAGCUUCGGCCUCCGCUUCGGGAGGGGCCCGCGGCCCAUUCGCUUGUUGGUGAGGUAACGGCUCACCAAGGCUGCGAUGGGUAGCUGGUCUGGGAGGACGAUCAGCCACACUGGGACGGAGACACGGCCCAGACGCCUGCGGGAGGCAGCAGUGGGGAAUAUGGCGCAAUGCGCGAAAGCGUGACGCAGCAACGCCGCGGGGGGGAAGAAGGCCUUCGGGUCGUAACCCCCUUUCAGGAGGGACGAAGCCUCGGGAGUGAAUAGCUUUCCGAGGUGACGGUACCUCACGAAGAAGCCCCGGCUAACUACGUGCCAGCAGCCGCCGUAAGAC
rnacentral:rRNA from 1 species